AGCUGCCGGUGCCCAGGGCCGCCUUCCUGCAGGGCUCCACCCUCUUGUUAUCUCAGGCCCUUGACAGAUUGCAUGCUGGGAAAAGCCUCAAGUCUGCAUAGAAAGCGCAUUUAAUCCUUUUUUAACUGGGUGAGGUUGCCUCUUGGGACCCCCAGUUGAUAGAUGAGAAGCACCUGACUUUGAAAAGGAACCGAACUCAAGCAGGCUGCAUCCUAAGCCCGAUUUGCCAAGUUGUUUCUCAUUAAACCUAAACCAACUCUUCAGCCGCGCCGCCUCGGGGACCGUAAGCCCCGCUCUGGUGGACGCCUGGAGUCGCCGCCUCCCGAGAGUCCACACCCCAUCUUGUCUCCAGCCUGCGCUGGGAAGAAGCUGAGGUCUGGAGGUCUUCCUCUGAAGGAGCACAGUCCAGGGAGCCACAGAAGGCUGCCUUGAGGAGUGGAACUGCUUCAGGGAUCAAUGCAAAGUGUCCCCUGUCAGGAGAAAAACCACUCAGAGGAGAGAUGGGACCUCAGUAUGUUUGCCAUGCUGGUAUCCAGCUUCUGGCCUCAAGUGAUCCUCCCGACUCAGCCUUCUAAAGUGGCAGGAUUACAGGCAUGAACCAACAUGCCCAGCCCAGAGAAAUCAACUCCUGUGUGCCAAGAUUAGAGACAUGGUCGCACUAUGUUGCCCAGGCUGGCCUGGAACUCCUGGGCUCAAGAGAUCCUCCCACCUCAACCUCCCGAAGUCCUGGGAUUACAGGUAUGAGCCAC
rnacentral:lncRNA from 10 species